rnacentral:rRNA from 1 species
UACGAAGGGGGGCUAGCGUUGCUCGGAAUUACUGGGCGUAAAGCGCACGUAGGCGGAUUGUUAAGUCGGGGGUGAAAUCCUGGAGCUCAACUCCAGAACUGCCUUCGAUACUGGCGAUCUCGAGUUCGGGGAGAGGUGAGUGGAACUGCGAGUGUAGAGGUGAAAUUCGUAGAUAUUCGCAAGAACACCAGUGGCGAAGGCGGCUCACUGGCCCGAUACUGACGCUGAGGCACGAAAGCGUGGGGAGCAAACAGGG